AAUCAACGCUGGCGGCGUGCCUAACACAUGCAAGUCGAACGAGAAGGUGACUUCGGUCACUGGAUAGUGGCGUCCGGGUGAGUAACACGUAGGUAAUCUACCUUCGGGUGGGGAAUAACGUCUCGAAAGAGACGCUAAUACCGCAUAAUGCAGCGGCACCUAAUGGUGAUUAGUUGUUAAAGCGGGGGAGUCUUCGGACCUCGCGCCUGAAGAGGAGCCUGCGGCAGAUUAGCUAGUUGGUGAGGUAAUGGCUCACCAAGGCUUCGAUCUGUAGCUGGUCUGAGAGGACGGCCAGCCACACUGGCACUGACACACGGGCCAGACUCCUACGGGAGGCAGCAGUGGGAAUUUUGGGCAAUGGGCGAAAGCCUGACCCAGCAACGCCCGCGUGAAGGAGGAAAUCCUUCGGGAUGUAACUUCAUAAGUAAGGGAAGAAAGCUGCGGAUCGAAU
rnacentral:rRNA from 1 species